rnacentral:rRNA from 1 species
UGAACGCUGGCGGAAUGCUUUACACAUGCAAGUCGAGCGGCAGCGCGGGGCAACCUGGCGGCGAGCGGCGAACGGGUGAGUAAUGCAUCGGAACAUGUCCAUUCGUGGGGGAUAGCCCGGCGAAAGCCGGAUUAAUACCGCAUACGCCCGAGAGGGGAAAGCCGGGGACCGCAAGGCCUGGCGCGAAUGGGUUGGCCGAUGUCCGAUUAGCUAGUUGGUGGGGUAACGGCUCACCAAGGCGAUGAUCGGUAGCUGGUCUGAGAGGAUGAUCAGCCACACUGGGACUGAGACACGGCCCAGACUCCUACGGGAGGCAGCAGUGGGGAAUUUUGGACAAUGGGGGCAACCCUGAUCCAGCCAUUCCGCGUGAGUGAAGAAGGCCUUCGGGUUGUAAAGCUCUUUUGUCCGGAGCGAAACGGCGAGCGUGAAUAUCGCUCGCUACUGACGGUACCGGAAGAAUAAGCACCGGCUAACUACGUGCCAGCAGCCGCGGUAAUACGUAGGGUGCGAGCGUUAAUCGGAAUUACUGGGCGUAAAGCGUGCGCAGGCGGUUUUGUAAGCCAGAUGUGAAAUCCCCGGGCUCAACCUGGGAAUGGCAUUUGGGACUGCAAGGCUGGAGUUUGGCAGAGGAGACUGGAAUUCCUGGUGUAGCAGUGAAAUGCGUAGAUAUCAGGAGGAACACCGAUGGCGAAGGCAGGUCUCUGGGCUGAAACUGACGCUCAUGCACGAAAGCGUGGGGAGCAAA